rnacentral:rRNA from 1 species
GGGGAACUCAAAGGAGACUGCCAGUGAUAAACUGGAGGAAGGUGGGGAUGACGUCAAGUCAUCAUGGCCCUUACGAGUAGGGCUACACACGUGCUACAAUGGCAUAUACAAAGAGAAGCGACCUCGCGAGAGCAAGCGGACCUCAUAAAGUAUGUCGUAGUCCGGAUUGGAGUCUGCAACUCGACUCCAUGAAGUCGGAAUCGCUAGUAAUCGUAGAUCAGAAUGCUACGGUGAAUACGUUCCCGGGCCUUGUACACACCGCCCGUCACACCAUGGGAGUGGGUUGCAAAAGAAGUAGGUAGCUUAACC